CUACGGGGGGCAGCAGUGAGGAAUAUUGCACAAUGGGGGGAACCCUGAUGCAGCAACGCCGCGUGGAGGAUGACGCAUUUCGGUGUGUAAACUCCUUUUAUAUGUGAAGAAAAUGACGGUAGCAUAUGAAUAAGCGCCGGCUAACUCCGUGCCAGCAGCCGCGGUAAUACGGAGGGCGCAAGCGUUACUCGGAAUCACUGGGCGUAAAGGACGCGUAGGCGGGUUGAAAAGUCAGGUGUGAAAGCCUACAGCUUAACUGUAGAACUGCACUUGAAACUCUCAACCUAGAGUAUGGGAGGGGCAGAUGGAAUUAGUGGUGUAGGGGUAAAAUCCGUGGAUAUCACUAGGAAUACCUAAAGCGAAGGCGAUCUGCUGGAACAUUACUGACGCUAAGGCGUGAAAGCGUGGGGAGCAAACAGGAUUAGAUACCCCCGUAGUC
rnacentral:rRNA from 1 species